rnacentral:rRNA from 1 species
UACAGAGGGUGCAAGCGUUGUUCGGAAUUAUUGGGCGUAAAGCGCGUGUAGGCGGUUUCGCAAGUCGGGUGUGAAAGCCCUCAGCUCAACUGAGGAAGUGCGCCCGAAACUGCGGAGCUUGAGUACCGGAGAGGAUGGCGGAAUUCCCCAAGUAGAGGUGAAAUUCGUAGAUAUGGGGAGGAACACCGGCGGCGAAGGCGGCGACCUGGGUAGAUACUGACGCUGAGGCGCGACAGCGUGGGGAGCAAACAGG